GAUGAACGCUGGCGGCGUGCCUAAUACAUGCAAGUCGAGCGAAGCGGGGACGGGUGAGGAACACGUGGAUAACCUCCUAUAAGACUGGGAUAACUUCGGGAAACCGGAGCUAAACCGGAUACUUAUCGAUGGAUCCGCGCUGCAUUAGCUAGUUGGUAAGGUAACGGCUUACCAAGGCUACGAUGCAUAGCCGACCUGAGAGGGUGAGCGGCCACACUGGAAGUGAGACACGGUCCAGAUGCCUACGGGAGGCAGCAGUAGGGAAUCUUCCGCAAUGGGCGAAAGCCUGACGGAGCAACGCCGCGUGAGUGAUGAAGGGCUUCGGAUCGUAAAACUCUGUUGUUAGAGAAGCGGUAUCUAACCAGAAAGCCACGGCUAACUACGUGCCAGCCGCCGCAGUAAUAC
rnacentral:rRNA from 1 species